GGCGUCCUGGGCCGACCUGGCCCCUGGGGAGGACGGAGAAACCGCCCCCCUAGCGGACCCCUUCGGCUCGGGCGGGCCUGGGGGCGGCCGGCCUGCAGCCCUGCGGCUUCGGCCCUCCCCUGGUUAAAUUGGUUACCAACCUACUUCAGCAUCUUAUGGGAAAUGUAUAGAGUUUUCUAAGGAAUAUGACCAUAACAGGAAGAUAUCAUUGACUCUGAAUUAACUGAACCUGUACCCUGAAGAGCUAUAGGAUUUUGGAAGCUGAAUCAAUGUUAUCAGAUGAGUUAGAAUCCAAACCAGAGCUUCUGGUGCAGUUUGUUCAGAAUACCUCCAUCCCAUUAGGACAGGGGCUAGUAGAAUCAGAAACUAAAGACAUUACUUGCUUGUCACUCCUUCCAGUGACUGAGACCUCAGAAUGCAGUCGGCUAAUGUUACCAGAUGAUACUUCAAAUCAUACUAACUCCUCCAAGGAGGUUACUUCCUCAGCUGUAUUGAGAAGCCUUCAGGUAAAUGUGGGCCCAGACGGAGAAGAGACGAGGGCUCAGACUGUACAGAAGUCUCCAGAGUUUUUAUCCACUCCAGAGUCUCCUAGCUUGUUACAAGAUCUACAGCCAAGUGAUAGCACUUCUUUUAUUCUUCUUAAUCUAACAAGAGCAGGUCUGGGCUCUUCUGCUGAGCACUUAGUGUUUGUACAAGAUGAAGCAGAGGAUUCAGGGAACGAUUUCCUCUCCAAUGAGAGCACAGACAGUAGCAUUCCAUGGUUCCUCCGAGUUCAGGAGUUGGCCCAUGACAGUUUGAUUGCUGCUACUCGUGCACAGUUGGCAAAGAAUGCAAAAACCAGCAGUAAUGGAGAAAAUGUCCACCUCGGUUCUGCUGAUGGGCAACCCAAAGAUUCCGGACCCCUUCCUCAAGUGGAAAAGAAGCUCAAGUGUACUGUUGAAGGAUGUGAUCGGACAUUUGUGUGGCCUGCUCACUUCAAGUAUCACCUCAAAACUCAUCGAAAUGACCGCUCCUUCAUCUGCCCUGCAGAAGGCUGUGGAAAAAGCUUCUAUGUGCUGCAGAGGCUGAAGGUGCACAUGAGGACACACAAUGGGGAGAAGCCCUUCAUGUGCCCUGAGUCCAGCUGUGGUAAGCAGUUCACUACAGCUGGAAACCUCAAGAAUCACCUGCGCAUCCAUACAGGAGAGAAACCUUUUCUUUGUGAAGCCCAAGGAUGUGGCCGUUCCUUUGCUGAGUAUUCUAGUCUGCGAAAACAUCUGGUGGUUCACUCAGGAGAGAAGCCUCACCAGUGCCAAGUCUGUGGGAAAACCUUCUCUCAGAGUGGAAGCAGGAAUGUGCACAUGAAAAAGCAUCACUUGCAGCUGGGAACUACUGGGAGUCAAGAGCAGGAGCAAACUGCUGAGCCACUCAUGGGCAGUAGUUUGCUUGAAGAGGCUUCAGUUCCCAGUAAAAACCUGGUAUCUAUGGAUUCCCAGCCCAGCCUUGGUGGCGAGUCCUUGAACCUACCAAAUACCAAUUCCAUCCUGGGAGUUGAUGAUGUUAUGGAAGAACUUAACUUUUAAAACAUUUAAACAGAACAUAACCAGGUUUUACAGAGGAGAUAUAAAGCAAUUUCUCCAUACCUUCAAAAGCCAUAUCUUCUGGAGAAAAGAAAGGGCCCUCUAGGAGUUGCUCCUCUCUGGUAUAGAAAUUUCACCCAAGUUACACAGGCCAGGCCCUCUUCUCUGAAAAACUUACCAGAGGUGCUUACUGAAGGAUCCCCACGUCCCCUGUCUUCAGUGCCUGAUGUAACACAUCACUUGGUGACCAUGCAGUCAGGGAGGCAGUCGUACGAGGUUUCUGUCUUAACAGCGGUAAAUCCACAGGAGUUACUAAACCAAGGAGAUUUAACUGAAAGACGGACAUGAGCGUGGGUGCUGACCUUUGAAGGAGCAGCUCUGCCUAAUCCGAGAGUGCACCGUGGGCGUAGGACAGAGGCCCCAGAGCCACCGGAACCAAAAUAAAUCUGUGAAGGACGGAACCCCUCUUUUGCCUCUUUACUUACUUCCCUGCAGAGAACAUGAGUGUGUGAGAGCUUCUCUUCAGCCAUCCCGUGAUCCAGACAAGAAACAAAGCAGGGCCUGGGCUGGUACCUCCACCUGCCUCUUCUCACUGCGGAAUUCUGGGACAGACUUUUCCACCCAGUGGCAAACAGGGUUGUGUUUGCUGAAGUUUUUCAUGACAACUGUUGAGGGAAGGUUUUCCUUCAGAGUUUUCACCCCAGACCCAGCUUUCUCUUCACAUGGAUGGUGAACAUCCUGCUGUCAGCCACAGAGCUUCUCCUUGAGUUUUCAAGAGGCCUUGUUGCUUUGAAGAAGGGAGUAAUGUCAGUUCUGUCAUGGCGUUCUCCUUUCAGCAACCUUAGUAAGAGACUCUCAGCCACUGGGCUGCAAAAAAGAAUUACUUGAAUCUCCCUUUGGCCGUGCUGAGGUUCUAUCUUGUCUUGUACACCUCUGCUCAGUCACUUUGCUUUCUUUGUUGAUGGAACAUACAGUAGCAUGUUAAGAAGGUUUUUUUUGUUUUUUGUUUUUUGUUUUUUUUAAAGUUAAAAAUCACAUGAUACAGAGCUUCACUUUCCCUUUAAAUAAACAAAACAGCCCAGUCA